rnacentral:rRNA from 1 species
AUGAUUGAGAGAUUUCCUGGGGAAGAGAUGAUAUACUACAGUUUUGAUCGCGCGGAUGAUGAUCCACACAACUACUAUCCCGCAGAAUUCUUAAAUUCAUUAACACCUAAUGGGCUACCUCCCCAUAUCCUAAAGCUGAAAAUUAAUUGCCCUAUUAUAUUGUUACGGAACAUUGACCCAACGAGUGGUUUGUGCAAUGGGACGAGGUUGAUUGUCCGGGGAUUCAUGAGGAAUGCAAUCGAUGCUGAGAUUGUGUUGGGCCAGCAUGCUGGUAAGAGGGUGUUCCUUCCUCGAAUUCCCCUUUGCCCAUCAGACGAUGAGAUGUUUCGGUUUAGGUUCAAGAGGAAGCAGUUUCCAGUUAGACUUAGCUUUGCUAUGACCAUUAACAAGGCACAAGGA